UCCAGACUCCUACGGGAGGCAGCAGUGGGGGAUAUUGCACAAUGGGGGGAACCCUGAUGCAGCGACGCCGCGUGGGUGAAGGAGCGUUUCGGCGCGUAAAGCCCUCUCGGCAGGGAAGAAGGAGGACGGUACCUGACUAAGAAGCCCCGGCUAACUACGUGCCAGCAGCCGCGGUAAUACGUAGGGGGCAAGCGUUAUCCGGAUUUACUGGGUGUAAAGGGGGCGCAGACGGCAGCGCAAGCCAGGAGUGAAAGCCCGGGGCCCAACCCCGGGACUGCUCUUGGAACUGCGCGGCUGGAGUGCAGGAGGGGCAGGCGGAAUUCCUGGUGUAGCGGUGAAAUGCGUAGAUAUCAGGAGGAACACCGGUGGCGAAGGCGGCCUGCUGGACUGCGACUGACGUUGAGGCCCGAAAGCGUGGGGAGCAAACAGGAUUAGAUACCCCCGUAA
rnacentral:rRNA from 1 species